rnacentral:rRNA from 1 species
AAUGAACGCUGGCGGCGUGCCUAACACAUGCAAGUCGGAUGUGCCCGCAAGGGUGCAUGGCAGACGGGUGAGUAACGCGUGGGGAAUCUACCUUUUAGUGGGGAAUAACGCUCCGAAAGGAGUGGUAAUACCGCAUGUGACCAUCGGCUGGGAUGCUGAUGGUGAAACCCUGGGACCUUCGGGCCAGGGGCUAGAAGAGGAUCCUGCGUCUGAUUAGCUAGUUGGCGGGGUAACGGCCCACCAAGGCGACGAUCGGUAGCUGGUCUGAGAGGACGACCAGCCACACUGGAACUGAGACACGGUCCAGACUCCUACGGGAGGCAGCAGUGGGGAAUAUUGGACAAUGGGCGCAAGCCUGAUCCAGCCAUGCCGCGUGGGUGAAGAAGGCCUC